rnacentral:rRNA from 1 species
AUUGAACGCUGGCGGCAUGCCUUACACAUGCAAGUCGAACGGCAGCAUGAUCUAGCUUGCUAGAUUGAUGGCGAGUGGCGAACGGGUGAGUAGUACAUCGGAACGUGCCCUGUAGUGGGGGAUAACUAGUCGAAAGAUUAGCUAAUACCGCAUACGACCUGAGGGUGAAAGUGGGGGACCGCAAGGCCUCAUGCUAUAGGAGCGGCCGAUGUCUGAUUAGCUAGUUGGUGAGGUAAAGGCUCACCAAGGCGACGAUCAGUAGCUGGUCUGAGAGGACGAUCAGCCACACUGGGACUGAGACACGGCCCAGACUCCUACGGGAGGCAGCAGUGGGGAAUUUUGGACAAUGGGCGAAAGCCUGAUCCAGCAAUGCCGCGUGUGUGAAGAAGACCUUCGGGUUGUAAAGCACUUUUGUCCGGAAAGAAAUGGCUCUGGUUAAUACCUGGGGUCGAUGACGGUACCGGAAGAAUAAGGACCGGCUAACUACGUG